ensembl:lncRNA
AGGCUAUUGGGUGAGAAGUUAACCAAGUUUUCAUCAGGCUGUGCAUUUUUCUAUUCACCAUGAUAGUAUGAAAAGCAGCUGUUCACCCUGGACAGAGUUUCAAAAAGGUGGAUUCCAACCCAUUUCCAUGUUACAUGGGAAAACUCUUGAUUUUCUCAUCUAUUGCCAUCAGAGGCCCAGUGGAAACUCAAGUCUCACUCUGUCACUGAGUCUGGAGUACAGUGGUGUGAUCAUGGCUCACUGCAGCCUGGAUUUCCUGGGCUCAAGCAAUCCUUCCACCUCAGCCUCCUAAGUAGCUGGAACCACAGGUAUGUGUCACCACACAGGGCUAAUUCAUUUUUUAUUUUUAAUGGAGAUGAGGUCCCUCUAUGUUGCCUAGGCCGGUCUCAAGCUCCUUAGUUCAAGGGAUCCUCCUGCGUCAGUCUCCCAAAGUCCUGAGACUACAGGCAUGGGCCAGCACACCCAAUCUAAACAAUACAUUUUUCUUUCAGAGUCUUUUUAUAACCCAGGAAAGUGACUGUUUAUUAAUCAGGUCACAGUAAAGCUGAUGCCACUUCUCAUAAUCAAGAACAUUGUCCUUCAGUCAUGUGAGAUGGAACAGAAAACCCCUUUUUAGGGGUCUGUGGACUCCACACAUGGAAAUAAAGGACAAUUCUGAGUUCCUUCAAAGGAAAUUCCAGGCACCUAGCUAGCCCCAGAAGUAAGUAAGUAAUUUGUUAAACCAGAAGGGGGCUGGGCACAGUGGUUCAAGCCUGUAAUCCCAGCACUUUGGGAGGCCGAGAUGGGCGGAUCACGAGGUCGGGAGAUUGAGACCAUCCUGGCUAACACGGUGAAACCCCGUCUCUACCAAAAAAUACAAAAAACUAGCCGGGCGAGGUGGCGGGCAUCUGUAGUCCCAGCUACCUGGGAGGCUGAGGCAGGAGAAUGGCGUAAACCUGGGAAGUGGAGCUUGCAGUGAGCUGAGAUCUGGCCACUGCACUCCAGCCUGGGUGACAGAGCAAGACUCCAUCUCAAAAAAAACCCCAAAAAAACCAGAAGGGAAGAGUAGCCUAAAGCCAAGCAAGUUAGAGUUCCAGAGACGUUUCGUUUCCCUAUAGAAACUAAAGACAACAUCUUAACACGUGUCCCUGAGUUGUCUUUCAGAGAUCCCCAUGGGGGACCCCACGUGCACAUAGACCUCAGAUAAAAGGGAAUUGAAGACUGAACUUUGACCACAUUCUUUAUUCUAAAUUUCUUCCUGCAGGGUUUGGAGAAAGUCAUCCUCCCCACAUAGCCAAUUAACAUUUUUCUGCAAACCCCAAAUUUUUUUUUUUUUUUUUUUUUUUUUUUUUUUUUUUUUUUUUUUUUUUGAGACGGAGUCUUGCUCUGUCACCCAGGCUGGAGUGCUGUGGCCGGAUCUCAGCUCACUGCAAGCUCCGCCUCCCGGGUUCCCGCCAUUCUCCUGCCUCAGCCUCCGGAGUAGCUGGGACUACAGGCGCCCGCCACCUCGCCCGGCUAUUUUUUUUGUAUUUUUUAGUAGAGACGGGGUUUCACCGUGUUCGCCAGGAUGGUCUCGAUCUCCUGACCUCGUGAUCCGCCCGUCUCGGCCUCCCAAAGUGCUGGGAUUACAGGCUUGAGCCACCGCGCCCGGCCACAAACCCCAAAUUUUAAAACCAAGUUUCUUUUCCUUAACCAAUUGCAAACUAGCAAAGCUUUGAAUCUGCCUACUACCAAUACGCCUGUGCUUCAGGAUAAUCUGCCUGUAUAGGCCUAAACCAAUGUGUAAUCUUGUGUAUUGAUUUAGAAUAUUUCCUGUAGCUUCUGCUUUUAUAAACACUUGCCUGCAAGCUAUCGGUGAGGCCAGGAUUUGAGCAUUUAGCUACUUAGUCCUCCUUGCUUGGCACUCAGCAAAUAUUUUUCUUUCUAUUGCUGCAAAACCUUAC